rnacentral:tRNA from 1 species
GCCUGCUUGGCCUAAUGGAAAAGGCGUCUGACUUCGAACCACAAAAUUGCAGGUCCGACUCCGGCUGUGGGCU